UUGCCGAUGGCUAGCAGUUUGGGGGUUCGAUCCUCACCAGCCCAAGGUUGACUAAACCUUCCAUCCUUCCGAGCUCAGAAAAAUGAGGACCCAGAUUGUUGGGGCUAUAGGCUGAUACUGCAAACCCCUUAGAGAGGGCUGUAAAACAAUGUGAAGC